rnacentral:rRNA from 1 species
UACGGAGGGGGCGAGCGUUAUUCGGAAUUAUUGGGCGUAAAGGGCGCGUAGGCGGCCUUGUAAGUCAAAGGUGAAAUCCCUCGGCUCAACUGAGGAACUGCCUUUGAAACUGCAAGGCUUGAGGCCGGGAGGGGGUAGCGGAAUUCCCAAUGUAGCGGUGAAAUGCGCAGAUAUCAGGAGGAACACCGGUGGCGAAGGCGGGUCUCUGGGCAGUAACUGACGCUGAGGAGCGAAAGCGUGGGGAGCGAACAGG